rnacentral:rRNA from 1 species
AACGCGAAGAACCUUACCUGGGCUUGACAUGUGGGGAAUCUCACGGAAACGUGGGAGUGCGUAGUAAUACGAGCCCCAGCACAGGUGCUGCAUGGCUGUCGUCAGCUCGUGUCGUGAGAUGUUGGGUUAAGUCCCGCAACGAGCGCGACCCUCAUCCCUAGUUGCCACCGGGUCAAGCCGAGCACUCUAGUGAAACCGCCCCGGAUAACGGGGAGGAAGGUGGGGAUGACGUCAAGUCCUCAUGGCCUUUAUGUCCAGGGCUACACACGUGCUACAAUGGUCGGUACAAACUGUCGCAAAGCUGCAAAGUGGAGCUAAUCGGAAAAAGCCGGCCUCAGUCCGGAUUGGAGUCUGCAACUCGACUCCAUGAAGCUGGAAUCGCUAGUAAUCGCAGAUCAGAACGCCGCGGUGAAUACGUCCCCGGGCCUUGUACACACCGCCCGU